rnacentral:ncRNA from 1 species
UUUGUUGAACAUGUGUGUGAUGGGCUACCAACCCUUAACUGUUUUGGAGUUUAAAUUGGAAGUGCCCUUCUGGUACGAGGCCUGACCGGAGGCUUUUAAUCUGGUACCACGGGUAACCAGGAGCCCACGGAACUGUUCCGUCCUGGUUAGUUGGUGCGGCCCUUCGGGGAGUAUCGUGGUGGUUGUGGUUUAACACCCAAAUGCGGGUAGAGCAUCGCUCGACGUGGAGUUGCGUUAUACAACCGGGUUCCGUGACCCAGAUUACGGAAGAGGCUUAGAUAGUCCUCGUGCCAAACCAAGGUAGAAGUCACAACCAAACAGUCGUGUCUUUAAUUGGUACCUGCGGAAUUGUUCCAAGGGGGCGGUGAUUGACGCUUGAAUUAAUCCUAUACUAGGAACCGUGAGAUUAAGCCAUCGCGGCAGGUGCUCACGUUAAGCCCACUGACUUUCAUGUCCCUAUCUACUAUCUAGCGAAACCACAGCCAAGGGAACGGGCUUGGAAUAAUUAGCGGGGAAAGAAGACCCUUUUGAGCUUGACUCUAAUCUGGCAGUGUAAGGAGACAUAAGAGGUGUAGAAUAAGUGGGAGAUAUUAGACUUCGGUUUGGUAUCGACAAUGAAAUACCACUACUCUUAUUGUUUCCUUACUUACUUGAUUAAAUGGAACGUGUAUCAUUUCCUAGCCAUUAUACGGAUAUAAUUAUUAUGUCUUAUGGUAUUGGGUUUUGAUGCAAGCUUCUUGAUCAAAGUAUCACGAGUUUGUUAUAUAAUCGCAAACAAAUUCUUUAAUGAGAGAAUGCAUUUAUGUAUUAUUGAUUUAAAAAUUUGGUAUAACUCCAAUUACUCAGGUAUGAUCCAAUUCAAGGACAUUGCCAGGUAGGGAGUUUGACUGGGGCGGUACAUCUCUCAAAUAAUAACGGAGGUGUCCCAAGGCCAGCUCAGUGCGGACAGAAACCACACAUAGAGCAAAAGGGCAAAUGCUGACUUGAUCUCGGUGUUCAGUACACACAGGGACAGCAAAAGCUCGGCCUAUCGAUCCUUUUGGUUUAAAGA